GCCAAGACCUGAGAGAGUGUGAAACCAUAGCUGAGGAAAUAACAGACAAAGUUCAGAGAGGCUGUUGGUGAUACAGACAUGAAGGAGACAUGGCUGAGCAGCUGGAGAAGAUGGAAGAGACAGAGACCUAAAGUUUGAAAAAGUAAAACUGACGAGAGAAAUUGAUCAAUAUUCAGAAAAGCCUGUAACAUAGGAAAAGCAGACUGAAAAUUUUGGAAUUACAGAAGAUGUGAAAGAGUUAACAUUUUCAGUGGAGCCCUUUCAGAAGAUCUGGUUUGGUCUUGCACAAUAUCACAUCUUGGAAACAAGGUAUAAUAGGGCUACUUACACGUGAAAGAGUUAUAAUUAUACUUUGUCUCUAUACUGUGCUACAUCAUUCUUCAUAACAAGUUCUCUCUGUUCCUUAUCUUCUAUUUGACAUUUUAAAGC